UACAGAGGGUGCGAGCGUUGUUCGGAAUUACUGGGCGUAAAGGGCUCAUAGGCGGCCAACUAAGUCCGACGUGAAAUCCCCAGGCUUAACCUGGGAACUGCGUCGGAUACUGGAUGGCUUGGAUUCGGGAGAGGAAUGCGGAAUUCCAGGUGUAGCGGUGAAAUGCGUAGAUAUCUGGAGGAACACCGGUGGCGAAGGCGGCAUUCUGGACCGGCAUUGACGCUGAGGAGCGAAAGCCAGGGGAGCAAACGGG
rnacentral:rRNA from 1 species